rnacentral:rRNA from 1 species
CACGGCUAACUACGUGCCAGCAGCCGCGGUAAUACGUAGGGUGCAAGCGUUAAUCGGAAUUACUGGGCGUAAAGCGUGCGCAGGCGGACUUUUAAGCCAGAUGUGAAAGCCCCGAGCUUAACUUGGGAAUUGCGUUUGGAACUGGGAGUCUAGAGUCUGUCAGAGGGGGAUGGAAUUCCACGUGUAGCAGUGAAAUGCGUAGAGAUGUGGAGGAACACCGAUGGCGAAGGCAGUCCCCUGGGAUAAGACUGACGCUCAUGCACGAAAGCGUGGGGAGCAAACAGGAUUAGAUACCCUGGUAGUCCACGCCCUAAACGAUGUCUACUAGUUGUUGGGGUAGCAAUACCUCAGUGACGCAGCUAACGCGUGAAGUAGACCGCCUGGGGAGUACGGUCG